GGGAGGGGUUUUCGGACCCCGGGGACUCCGGUCCCCCCUCUUCACCCUAUGCUUACCUACCUUUGUUGCCUUGACGGGCCCGAGGAAUACCCUUCUUGCACCCGUCAGAGGCCCCUCCCACUUCGUCUAUCAGCGUCGUCCGAGUAGCACUAUAAUCGCAAAAACUUUCAACAACGGAUCUCUUGGUUCU
rnacentral:misc_RNA from 1 species